AUUGCUUCUCAGCCUUUUGGCUAAGAUCAAGUGUAGUAUCAUUACCAGUUUAAAAAUAUUCUGGUUCUCUGUAUUCUGUCCUGACAGCAGCCUCUUAUCUUGAGUGCAGGUUACCCAUUAAGGGACUAGAUCUUGGGGUACAUUCAUUUCUUAAGAGCAAUCUAUUUUCCCCCCCCAAGAUAUACGCAAU